rnacentral:rRNA from 1 species
AUUGAACGCUGGCGGCAGGGUUAACACAUGCAAGUCGAGCGGUAGCACUGGGGAGCUUGCGCCCUCGGUCACGAGCGGCGGACGGGUGAGUAAUGUCUGGGUAACUGCCUGAUGGAGGGGGAUAACUACUGGAAACGGUAGCUAAUACCGCAUAACUUCGCAAGACCAAAGAGGGGGACCUUCGGGCCUCUUGCCAUCAGAUGUGCCCAGAUGGGAUUAGCUAGUAGGUGUGGUAAUGGCUCACCUAGGCGACGAUCCCUAGCUGGUCUGAGAGGAUGACCAGCCACAGUGGAACUGAGACACGGUCCAGGCUCCUACGGGAGGCAGCAGUGGGGAAUAUUGCACAAUGGGCGCAAGCCUGAUGCAGACAUGCCGCGUGUGUGAAGAAGGCCUUCGGGUUGUAAAGCACUUUCAGCGAGGAGGAAGGUGGUGAGCUUAAUACGUUCAUCAAUUGACGUUACUCGCAGAAGAAGCACCGGCUAACUCCGUGCCAGCAGCCGCGGUAAUACGGAGGGUGCAAGCGUUAAUCGGAAUUACUGGGCGUAAAGCGCACGCAGGCGGUUUGGGAAGUCAGAUGCGAAAUCCCCGGGCUCAACCUGGGAACUGCAUUUGAAACUGGCAAGCUAGAGUCUCGUAGAGGGGGGUAGAAUUC